rnacentral:rRNA from 1 species
GGUGAACGCUAGGAGUAUGCUUUACACAUGCAAGUCGAACGGUAACAGGUCUUCGGAUGCUGACGAGUGGCGAACGGGUGAGUAAUGCAUCGGAACGUGCCCAGUCGUGGGGGAUAACGCAGCGAAAGCUGCGCUAAUACCGCAUACGACCUAUGGAUGAAAGCGGGGGACCGUAAGGCCUCGCGCGUUUGGAGCGGCCGAUGUCAGAUUAGGUAGUUGGUGGGGUAAAGGCCCACCAAGCCAACGAUCUGUAGCUGGUCUGAGAGGACGACCAGCCACACUGGGACUGAGACACGGCCCAGACUCCUACGGGAGGCAGCAGUGGGGAAUUUUGGACAAUGGGCGCAAGCCUGAUCCAGCAAUGCCGCGUGCAGGAAGAAGGCCUUCGGGUUGUAAACUGCUUUUGUACGGAACGAAACGGCUCUCUCUAAUACAGAGGGCUAAUGACGGUACCGUAAGAAUAAGCACCGGCUAACUACGUGCCAGCCGCCGCCGUAAAAC